UUCGCAAUGCCCGAAAGGGUGACGAAGCGACGCCGCGUGUGGGAAGAAGGCCUUCGGGUUGUAAACCACUGUCGGGAGUUAGGAAGUGUAGGGAUAUGAAUAAUGUCUUUACCUGACUAAGGCUCCGGAGGAAGCCACGGCUAACUCUGUGCCAGCAGCCGCGGUAAUACAGAGGCGGCAAGCGUUGUUCGGAAUUAUUGGGCGUAAAGAGCACGUAGGCGGCUUUGCAAGUCAGUUGUGAAAGCCUUCCUCUUAAAGGAAGAACUGCAUCUGAUACUACAAGGCUUGAGUGCGGGAGGGGAGAGUGGAACUUCUGGUGGAGCGGUGAAAUGCGUAGAUAUCAGAAGGAACGCCGGCGGCGAAAGCGACUCUCUGGCCCGUAACUGACGCUGAGUGUGCGAAAGCUAGGGGAGCAAACGGGAUUAGAUACCCCGGUAGUCCCAGCCGUAAACGAUGGGCACUAAGUAGAGGGGUUUU
rnacentral:rRNA from 1 species